rnacentral:lncRNA from 1 species
GGUGGUAUCAUGGAUGCCUCGGAUUCAUAUUCGGGAUGUAGAUUUGAAGAGCCGAACCAUAGGCAUGCUAUGAAGAAAUGAGCCAUAUGCAUGCUGUGAAGAGCUAAGCCAUAAGCAUGCUGUGAAGAGCCGAGCUAUAUGUAUGCUGAGAUGAGCUAUUCUUAUAUAAGCUGAACUAUCCUGAGCUAUAUCUAUGCUGAGAUGAGCUAUCUGAUAUGAGGUGAAGUAUUCUG